UGGGUAACCUGCCUUAUAGUGGGGGAUAGCCUUUCGAAAGGAAGAUUAAUACCGCAUAAGAUUGUAGUAUCGCAUGAUAUAGCAAUUAAAGGAGCAAUUCGCUAUAAGAUGGACCCGCGUCGCAUUAGCUAGUUGGUGAGGUAAUGGCUCACCAAGGCGACGAUGCGUAGCCGACCUGAGAGGGUGAUCGGCCACAUUGGGACUGAGACACGGCCCAGACUCCCUACGGGAGGCAGCAUG
rnacentral:rRNA from 1 species